rnacentral:snRNA from 1 species
AUGAAGGUCUGGACGGGAUCAAUGGGCGACCAAAAAGGCUCAGGGCCUAGGUUGAUGACUUCCAUUGCACUUUGAAAGAGCGCCCUCUAAGGUCGGCCCAAGUGGUCGAGCCUACUUCAUAAUUUGUGACAGCGGGGGCCAGCGUUCGCGUGACCCCUA